UACGUAGGGGGCAAGCGUUGUCCGGAUUCAUUGGGCGUAAAGAGCGUGUAGGCGGCCAGGUAGGUCGGUUGUGAAAACUGGAGGCUCAACCUUCAGAGGUCGACCGAAACCAUCUGGCUAGAGUCCGGAAGAGGAGAGCGGAAUUCCUGGUGUAGCGGUGGAAUGCGCAGAUAUCAGGAAGAACACCCGUGGCGAAGGCGGCUCUCUGGGACGGUACUGACGCUGAGACGCGAAAGCGUGGGGAGCGAACAGG
rnacentral:rRNA from 1 species